CCUGACCCUAGAGGUGUUACAGGUGUGGCUACUGUCACAGCUGGGUCAGGAAUGGACAGAGAGCAGAGAGGCUGUGUCUACACUCAUUCUUCUGACUCACUCACACUGAAUGGUUAGUAGCCUAAGAAA
ensembl:snoRNA